AUUAAGGUCAGCUAAUAAAGCUAUUGGGCUCAUACCCCACUCAUGAAGGUUUUAAUCCUUUUCUUUUUA
rnacentral:tRNA from 1 species